CGCAGGGAGGGCGGAGCCGCCGGCCCCGCCGCCGAGCGAGCGGGAGCGCGGUGGGUGAUACCCGGCACCUUCUGCCGCUCCGGGGCCGUGCGGGAUGUACUGGAGAGAGUGCAGAGGAGGCGCUGGAGCUGGAAGGAAAAGAGACUUUUUCAGAAUAAAAGGCAUGGAUUGAAGUGGAGGCACAACAGACGCAUUCUCUACCGUGCUAGGCGGUUGCUCGAUUGUCUGCAGUCAGGAAGACAGUAAGGUAACAUUGGGGUGCUUAUCGAAGCACUGCCCAUUUCUUAUGAGGAAAAGAACUGGGAGAGAAGUGAGAGACUGAGGCUGGAGGCCAAUGGAAAUAUCCUUGAGAAAAAGUUUUUGGCUUAUCUCCAUUUAGUUAGUGGGCAAUUUCCAUCUCGUAGACGUGAGAAAAUAAUAGCGUACUCACAACAGACAGAGUGAUUAACCACUCAGAACUCCUAAGAAAAUAUCUGACCUGAAUUUAAUCUAUCCCAAACCAUGAAAAAAAAAGUGUUUUCUGAGAGUCAAGUAAGAAACAUCUCUACAGUUCCUGUGCUUCAGCAGCUCUUCUUUUUUUUUGGCUCGCAAUGAUGUCGAGUGUUAUAAGAUGUGAGAUUUUGGGCAAAUUACUUAACAACUAUGCUUCAAGAUUUCCUACCUAAAGAAGGGCUGAAUACAGCUGAUGAAAUCAUCCAACUUCAUUUGAUUCCUUCCUGGAAUAAAAGAAAAUCUCAAACAGAAGAGCACACUUCCAACAAAACUGUUUGCCUUUUAUUCACGUUUAAAAAAAUAUCUGCCCUGGCAUUGUCUGUAUGCUAACUGCCUCUGCUCCUUGCUCUCUACGAAUCCUUUUAGCAUCAAUUUGUAUUCCAGAAUUGUUAGCCCUUUACAAAUCAGCCAAUACAUUCAACUACAGAUAAGGUAAUAACUUUCAAAUUGAGUAGGAAAUUACAGCAGCAUCAAGUCAGGCAAAUGAGUUUUGGCUUCUUCCUUCUAGGCAAAUGAGUUUUGGCUUCUUCCUUCUCAAGCAGAACCUCAAGAUCGAGCAUUCUUGUUUGUACCUUGAGAUCCUCAAGUACUGGUAACAGCAUUAUUCCAGACCUCGAACACCAUGACACUUUGCUAGGAAACUGAGAAGUAUUCUGAGACAAAACAAGGUGGGUUUUAGGUUGCCAACAUAAUGUCAUUCUAGUCUCCUUCAAGCAUCAACUUAAAAAGUUUGACCUAUGUUUAUAAGCUGUGGAUUACUUAAAAGCACAGCCUCACAGCGCCCCAAGUACUUUGCAAGAUGUGCCUGUAGUGGAAACGUUUUUUUCCUUCAAAGUAAGUUCCGGUUGAUUUGCAAACUGAUAAUUAAACUUACAUGUCACUGAAGUAUCUCCCAGUUCUAUAAUCUAAGUGCAUUUUUUGUGGUUUCUUAGCUAGAGAUAUUCUGGCCUUUUAGCUGCAUUCUCUGAUCUUGCAAAUUUGUAUGAGGAUCCCAAACUGGGUCACUUACCUGGGGAAUGAAGAAUUUCCCCCAUAAAUAUGUUUUUCCACAUCCAAGGUGAUGAAUUUAGGAGUCUUGUUUAUCUAGCUUUCCCUAGUUCCUCUGAACUUCCAGUGAGGUCGUCUCAUAACUUUCUUUCAUAGCUGCUCUAUUCUCUUAUCAACCAUAUAUGCUGUGAGCAUAGGCGGGGGAUAAGGAUGGGAGAAAGUAGCUGAAUCCAAAGGCAGCAGUCUUUGGGGCACAAUGGUGGGCAGAAUGAUUGGUUGUAAGCUCCCCAGUUCUAAAUCACAAAUAGGUUAACAAGAGUCCGUUGCUGUGGCAGCACUGGGCUUCCAGACUCUCUUACAUAGAUGAACAUUUGUAGCCCAGCAGAGUUUUGCCCUGUGGGAAACAAAACUCAAGGUUAGCACCAAAAAUUUCAUGAAAUGUUACUUCAUUUUGGAUGUUUGCCUUCAGGAAAGAGUGGUGAUUAAAAAUACUGAGACACGUGAAUCAUCACACACACUUCAGGAAAUACAUGCUGUCUCCUAUGGUUCUAGCUGAAUACAAGUUUAAAAUACCUUUCAUUAAUACUUGGAGGAUUUACAUAGACGUGUUUGGUUCUAUCAGUUGACCCCUUCAUUUGUCUUUUUAUGGAAGCUCUUCUGAUCCUGCCAAUGGUAAAACUGAUCCUGUAGCGAAAAAGAACCAGAAUGGGCCCCCUUUGCAAGUAGCUUUACAGUCACAACCCUUGUACAGCAGCUCCUUUCUCUGCCUGAUCUCUGUUGGCACUCUAGCAUUUUAGUUACAAGAAUGAUACAACUCCAAAGUCCUAUAAAAUACUGGAAAACUACAAAUAGAACCACUGUGCUUCACUAUUAAUAAUUCACAUAGAAUUCACAGCCAAAAACCAUCAAGUUUUCAUAACAGAAUGACAGAACUGAGAGAAUUCCCAUCACUACAUCUGUCCUAAUCUUGUUCUUUCUGCAAACUUUAGUAGUGUAUUAAAAAAAUAACAGCAUUAGCCAACUCAUUUAAUAAAACAACUGGGUAAAUUAAAGUGUAGAUAUACAUUCACAUUUUAAUUUUGAAUUUGCUUACAUUUGUCUACUGGUACCCCAGUCUUAGGAAAGCAUGUUAUGUUACAUAAAACCCCCUAAUGUCAGCAUGUUCUCCUGGUGUUCUCCUUCAAAAACACAGAAUUCUCUAUUUGGAACAACGUGUAAAAGCUUUAUUUUAUCCUGUCAUUAAAGCAGAGAUUUUUGAGGCAGACUUCCUAAGAGAAAAAAAAAAUUAGGAAAACCUGUAAAUUCUGGUUUGCUGUUUUUGUUCGUUUGUUUCAUUUUUAUUAAAAAGAAAACUCUGUUACAUAUUUGGUCAGUUACCCGUUGUUGCAGAGGUAUCAGCGAGCACUUGCUGUUGUAACCUACAGAACGCUCUGUUUUUCCACAGAACCAGGCUAAGCGCAUAGGACCCAAAGUUAGAAAAAGAAAUCCACCUCAUGAUUUUAAAAUGUAAUGCAGUGAAAGAUUAGUUUGCCUUCCCACCUCCUCCCCAGCUUACUUUUCCAAGUCGACUUGUGCUUUAAACUGCACCCAUUUUGCUCAGCUCAGUACAUUAGAAGUAGACAUGGUAAAAAACAGUUAUAACUUUUAAUAAGAUGAGACUCAGGGUUGAAAACAAUUCUGAAGCCACUUCUCAUGGCUGAAAUUUUAGCAAUCUCUGCAAUACAGCAAAAUACUCUAGAGCAGCUUACCUACCUAGUCACUGAAACACAUCCACUCACAGUAUUUAACUAACUGGUUACAACCAGCAUCGAAAUAGGUUCACUCCUGGAAUUUCUAUCUUGUCAUCACCAGACAGAUCCUUCAGUGUGAUGGCCUCCACCAGCAGAGCUUCAGAAAUCCCCCUGCUAGCUUAUUUUAUUUACAAAGACACUUCAAAGUUUGUCAUAGCACAGAAAGACUUUUUCCCAAUGGAUGAAUUUUCAGAACUAUUAAGCUGAGGAAGAAGGGUACAGUUUUGGACUGCACUGUUACGUAAACUCAACAUGUAUUUUAGGGACGAGGGCCUGUUCCUGUGCGACGUUCCCCCGGUAACAAUCUAUGGCCUUGAUCCUGCUUUUAUAGUUAGGAAUUUUAUCAUUUACUUCCAUGGAAGAGGUCUACUGAGUGCUGGCGUUGUCAGAAACACACAUAGCAUAUUAGAUACAGUUGGGGAAAGAAGAGAACUUACUCUCUUCCAGAAUAACUUACAUAAUUUUAUAACAAUUUUAUCACUCUUAGACAUUUGUAUAGCACCAAUCACCAACAGCAUUAUCACUAAGGCACUGGACCGGUUCUCAGCUGUGUGGGGUCUAUCUCCAGAUCGGUGGUCAAUUUCCUCUGUAAUCGUGUUUAUCUCUUUUGUUUUUCCUGGUACAUAUUUUUUGACAUUGGAAAACAGGAUACAAUACAAAAACAUCCUACACCAUUUACAGGAAUAUUGCGCCACAACUAAUUACAAGGUGCUCAGAUUUUAAAGUGAUGAACAUUAAUAUUUCUGUGCAUAGAUUUACUGGUAAAAGAAAAUGAUCCUGCAGGUAUCAAUUAUGUGCAACACACUGGAAGAGAAUUAGCUUCAGCUCCUCUGGAGUCAAUGACAUCCUCUAAGUUAAAUCCUGUCCUCGAUGCCAAGAUUCAAAAUAGUUUUUAGAUAAAUGAAGAUAAGCCUGAAGGGCUCCUGUCCAUGACAACUGAUUCAGCGUGCCUUCAGAUGCUUUUCCAUCAAAAUCCGCUCCUAACAACUUACAGAGCUUCAGUUGCAUCCUCUGAGAGGGCAGGUUUUGAUGCUUUUGGAAGCAGCUGCAUCUUUUUUCAGUCCGUAGUGGAUUUUCAUCUCCUCCACAUUAUUAAAAAACCCACAACCCUCCAGCAGUUAUUACUAUUUUGCUGCAUCACACCGGCUGCUGAGCAUGUGUUCCGAUGUACAAACUACUGGAAGUUCUUGGGUUGAAAUAAGUUACUGCAAAUGCACAGUAGCUGAUUUUGAAACCACAACAUCUCUACAAUUUAUUAUUAUUUUUACAAAAUACCCAAAGUGUUCAGACCAUAUUGUAGGUUUCUGGCUUGCCAAAGGUUAUGUUUUAAAAUCAAAACAAUUUCUGAGUUACAAAGUGCCAAAAUCAAUCUUGAACCAGGUUUGUUUUUGUUGUUGGUGGUGUAUUCUUUUUUCUUUUAACCAACCCCCAUCCAACAAAACUUAAAAACAGAAACAAGUGUUGGAAACUGUUUAAAAAACCCACCAAAUCAUGCUUGACCAGACGCCUUGUAUGGCAAAGAUUUAGCUCAGGGCAAUUUAGUGCCAAGAUAUAGACCCUCUAUGGGUUUAUAAUGGAAAUACUGACACAACCUCAACUCUAGCGAUGCGAAUGUGCCCUAAAACACUGUACUUGCUUUUAUUAAUCAAAGUGGUAGUGUUUACAUUUGCAGGUAUCUUACACUUCAGCAUCACGAUGAAUACUGAGUAGAAUGAGUUACGUUUGGGCUGCAAGGUCAGAAGUUUCCAAACAGAUGAACGAGACAGAAGUGAAAGUCCUUGAUCGUGAAAACAAGAAGUUCAAAUAAAUAAAUAAAACAAAACUAGGAAAUAUGGGUAAGCAUUAGGUUGGAAUGGUUCAAUUAACUGCAAAUUAUGGCCACUAAAUUAGAGACAGAAGAAAACACAGUUAAUUAUUAAAUAGCAAGCAUUAAAGCUUUAUGUUUUUGUAUUUAAAAAAAAAAAAAAAAAAGCUGUUAAAAAUAAGACUUGCAUUUACCAGGCCACCAAACUGCAUGGACUAAUAGAGACUAACAAAGGCAAUACUGAGACAUUAAGACACACACACGCUCCAUACUUGUGCAACUCAACCAUAUUCAAAACGAUUGCCUUUUUCCUCACUUAACAAAAAAGAAAAAGCAUCCCCUAAACAUUUCUGUUCAUAUAAAGCUUUAGGUUUCUUAAACUGUUGCUGUCUUACAUAGCUCAUUAUGUAUCCUUCUCGUUAGCAGAGGAAGAAGCUUAUUUUUAUUCUUUUAAAUGGAGCUGCUUUGUUACUCUCAGCUGAGAGAUUACAUUCCUCACGCCACUACAGGUUUUCUCCAUGUAUAAAUUUGGUGUUUACACCAACUCCUCCUAGGCUUAAAAAGAUAAGGGUUGGCACUAAAUUAAAGAUUUUGGCUCCAGUAACUAAAAUUAAGGCUCGCAAUUAAUAUCCUUUCCACUACGUGUGCCCCGUUUUUACCUAGUGGAAACACCAGCCCUUAACCUACAGGCACUGGAUACAUUCUUAAAUCACAGCGGGCUAUUUUUGGUCAUGUUUUCCUGCAGUUCUACAAAGUUCAGGUGGCAACUUUCUAAACCUGUCAACAGGAAAGAUCAUUUUUCAAAAAUGAGCGGCAACUGCAGCUAAAAUUUUUAGGUGGUUUAGUGUCUUCCAAAAGAUCGCUAAUAAUUUUGAAUUAAGAGAGAUGGGACAGGAGCUCCAUCAAGUCCCAGCUCUUCACAUAAAAAUGGCCUCGGUGAUUGUCAUUUAAAAGUUUAGCCACAAGAGCAAUGAAAACUCACAAUUCUCAACAGUUGUGUUACAAAGGCAUCUGAUACCUGAAGCAAACGCAGCUGCACAGACAUCACUGACCACAGCCUAAUUUUAAUUUCAACUGGACCUCUUCCCAGAAAAGAAAGUGAACACAGUCUGAUGGGUGAGAGAAGCGAGUGGGGAAGGCAGAGAGGCAAGGGGUUUGGUGUUUGGGUUUUGUUUCUUUUGUUUUAAAGUCACUGCAGUAAGAUCCAGAUCAGUUUAGGGGUGUAAAUGAAGAGGGAACAGGGGUGUUUGAGUAAUAUAGGCUAACACUGUUCUAGAUGUGUUAUUACAGCUGUAAUUUCUGACUCUGUACAAAUUGUACACGUAGUUUUAGACACAUGAAAAAGUAACACGCUCACAGAGACAUAAAACACCUAGGUAUAAAAUAUAAAGCAGUGUAGUAGUUACUAAAAUUACAUGCUCUCUUAUUGCUACAGUGAUUUUUGCUCUUUUUUCUUUUUACUGUACCACAUGUUGUUCUAAGCAUAUAAUUUGCAUAAAUUAUUCAAGUUUAAGAAAAAUCCACACAUCUUCACUUUAAGCUACUUAUAUAGUUAAUAUAAAACAAAAAAAAAAAAGGUUCUAAAGUAUCUCUUUAUUAAAAGAGAAAUAAAAAUGUCAUUUGAAACUGGAAUUCAGUGGCCAAAUCCAAGGGCAGCGCACACCUUGUCGCUCGGGAGCCGUUCGCCCAUCGGGGUGAGUGGAGGUCGGUGGCUGUUGGGCCCAGCCUAGAGAUGGUCACCGGACCUGCGUGAUGCCCUACGUGUCUGUUCUUGUUCUGGUUUUGUCUUUAGCAAAAAGGACUAUGAAUGACCAAAGACUAACAUUUAGAAUUUGUAGCAAAAUUUGGUUUAUGUAGAAACAAGCCAUGUUUUGCAUUUGGAUAGAGAUUUAAAUGAAUUAAAGCUAAAAAUUAAAAAGCAUGAUGCUGCAACAUCUGGUCACUUGUUGAAGACCUCACUUUUAAAGUGGUUAAGUUUGCACAAUUUGUACUUUUUUCUUAUUUUUUCUCUUUUUUUUUCUUUUUUCUUUUUUUUUUUUUUUUUUUUACUAAACAGUAUUUUUCCUUCUUUUAUAAACCAGAAAAACUAAACUACAGAUAAAUUUCCCCUACCUUGAGCUAAUGCUGCAGAUAGGGUUGACAAAGCUGUACAGCGCAAUCAAACAUACUUACAUCUUAGCUCAUUGUACAGGUACAGCCAUAAUCAAGGCACAAAGAUCUUCUACAAGUUAUUUUUUUUUCAAUAAAGUUGUACAAAAUAAUACAUUUUACAGUCUGUACAAGAAUAAUAAUCCAGCAGUAAAAUAAAAAAUGAGGGGAGGGAAGAAGAAAAAGAAGGGAAAGACUGUGAGGACUACAGUCCAGAUAAUGAUUUUGAUAGCAGACGGGAUCAUCAGUGGACAAACUGAAAACAGUGUGUGGUUAACUCUUUCUGCAAUCACAGGCCAUAUGCAGUUCAAUUCAGCAAUGUCCAUGGUUGUCUUUAGACCACCAAGACUGGUUUUAAAAAUACCCUUCUGAAAGGUAGCGGGUGGUUUUUGCACUGUCUAGGUCUGUUGUAGAAUUGUCAGUAUUUCCGUUCAAAGCCACAUGACAAUCAGAGAACUCAAGUGUCUUCAAACUCGGUCUGUGACUUGGCACCUUCUUUAGUCUGAUGCAGUGAAUGAUACAAAGUGGAGAUCACGGCUUAUAUGAUUAUGCCCACAACAGUGCUAAAUUACCUCAAGUUUUCUCUCCCCAAUUUUUGUUUCAUCUUUUAAUUUUUAUUCCCAAUUCUUUCAGGUGCUCCACAUUCAGGGCUUUUAAUUAAUUAGUUUUUAUUUAUCUUUUUUUUUUUUUCCUUCCUUUUUGGUUAAUAACAGUGUUAGGGAAUCCUCAUGGAAAUGGCCUUUUAAAUGUUAGGGGCCAUCUCAAACUGUCCGAGGGGUACAGAAACAAGCUUAGAAGUGCUGCUAUUGUCCAGCAAGGAGAAAAAGUUGAGGGGUGCAAAUCAAUGGGAGAUUCAAACAGUUCUCUUCCACCAUAUGUGGGCAAGGGUGGGUUUGUUUUUUUUUUUUCUUUUUUUUUAAUAAGGAAUAAGGAGUCCAAAACACAGAAAAAAGUGCUCUCCAUCACAACAACUCGUAUUGGCGAAGGUGCAUGCGCUGAAUAAUGUCCCGACAGUCAUUGAAAACCCUCCGGAUGUUCUCUGUAUCCACCGCACACGUGAAGUGAGGGUAGCAAUAGUGCCUUCCAUCUCCACUCGCUGUGCUGAUUCU